rnacentral:rRNA from 1 species
GCUUGUUCAUGGCUCAGAAUCAACGCUGGCGGCGCGCCUAACACAUGCAAGUCGCACGAGAAAGCAGGGGCAACCUNNNNNNNACAGUGGCGAACGGGUGAGUAACACGUGGGUGAUCUACCUCUUAGUGGGGAAUAACCCUGGGAAACCGGGGCUAAUACCGCAUAAGCCCGAGAGGGGAAAGCAGCAAUGCGCUGAGAGAGGAGCCCGCGGCCGAUUAGCUGGUUGGUGAGGUAAGAGCUCACCAAGGCGAAGAUCGGUAGCCGGCCUGAGAGGGCACACGGCCACACUGGCACUGAAACACGGGCCAGACUCCUACGGGAGGCAGCAGUGGGGAAUCUUGCACAAUGGGGGAAACCCUGAUGCAGCGACGCCGCGUGAGCGAUGAAGCCCUUCGGGGUGUAAAGCUCUUUCGGCAGGGAAGAUGAUGACGGUACCUGCAGAAGCAGCUGCGGCUAACUACGUGCCAGCAGCCGCGGUAAUACGUAGGCAGCAAGCGUUGUUCGGAGUUACUGGGCGUAAAGGGUGUGUAGGCGGUCGUUUAAGUUUGGUGUGAAAUCUCCCGGCUCAACUGGGAGGGUGCGCCGAAUACUGAGCGGCUCGAGUGCGGGAGAGGAGAGUGGAAUUCCUGGUGUAGCGGUGAAAUGCGUAGAUAUCAGGAGGAACACCGGUGGUGUAAACG